rnacentral:miRNA from 1 species
AAGAUAUCAGAGGGCAACGC